rnacentral:rRNA from 1 species
CCUUGGGGAGGCCUACACAUGCAAGUCGAACGGUAGCACAGAGAGCUUGCUCUCGGGUGACGAGUGGCGGACGGGUGAGUAAUGUCUGGGAAACUGCCUGAUGGAGGGGGAUAACUACUGGAAACGGUAGCUAAUACCGCAUAACGUCGCAAGACCAAAGAGGGGGACCUUCGGGCCUCUUGCCAUCAGAUGUGCCCAGAUGGGAUUAGCUAGUAGGUGGGGUAACGGCUCACCUAGGCGACGAUCCCUAGCUGGUCUGAGAGGAUGACCAGCCACACUGGAACUGAGACACGGUCCAGACUCCUACGGGAGGCAGCAGUGGGGAAUAUUGCACAAUGGGCGCAAGCCUGAUGCAGCCAUGCCGCGUGUAUGAAGAAGGCCGUGGGGUUGUAGAGUACUUUCAGCGGGGAGGAAGGCGAUGAGGUUAAUAGGCUUGGCAAUUGACGUUACCCGCAGAAAACGCAACGGCUGACUCCGUGCCAGGAGCCGCGGGGAUACGGGGGGGACGAGCGGUAGUCGGAAGAGAGGGAUUGGGGCACAAGCAGUAGGGGGGUU